ACUUUGAUCAUGGCUCAGGACGAACGCUGGCGGCGUGCCUAACACAUGCAAGUCGAACGGAGCUCCGCCCUUCGGGACGGAACUUAGUGGCGAACGGGUGAGUAACGCGUGAAGAACCUGCCUUCCAGUGGGGGACAACAGUUGGAAACGACUGCUAAUACCGCAUGAUACUUUUGAGGGGCAUCCCUUGAAAGUCAAAGCUUUAAGUGCUGGAAGAUGGCUUCGCGUCUGAUUAGCUAGUUGGUGGGGUAACGGCCCACCAAGGCGACGAUCAGUAGCCGGUCUGAGAGGAUGAACGGCCACAUUGGGACUGAGAUACGGCCCAGACUCCUACGGGAGGCAGCAGUGGGGAAUAUUGGGCAAUGGGCGAAAGCCUGACCCAGCAACGCCGCGUGAAGGAAGAAGGCCUUCGGGCUGUAAACUUCUUUUACCAGGGACGAAGGACGUGACGGUACCUGGAGAAAAAGCAACGGCUAACUACGUGCCAGCAGCCGCGGUAAUACGUAGGCUGCAAGCGUUGUCCGGAUUUACUGGGUGUAAAGGGCGUGUAGGCGGAGGCGCAAGUUGGGAGUGAAGUCUAUGGGCUCAACCCAUAAACUGCUCUCAAAACUGUGUCCCUUGAGUAUCGGAGAGGCAAGCGGAAUUCCUAGUGUAGCGGUGAAAUGCGUAGAUAUUAGGAGGAACACCAGUGGCAAAGGCGGCUUGCUGGACGACAACUGACGCUGAGGCGCGAAAGCGUGGGGAGCAAACAGGAUUAGAUACCCUGGUAGUCCACGCUGUAAACGAUGAAUACUAGGUGUGGGAGGACUGACCCCUUCCGUGCCGCAGUUAACACAAUAAGUAUUCCACCUGGGGAGUACGACCGCAAGGUUGCAACUCAAAGGAAUUGACGGA
rnacentral:rRNA from 1 species